rnacentral:rRNA from 1 species
AUCCUGGCUCAGGAUGAACGCUAGCUACAGGCUUAACACAUGCAAGUCGAGGGGCAGCAUGACGGAAGCUUGCUUUCGUUGAUGGCGACCGGCGCACGGGUGAGUAACGCGUAUCCAACCUGCCCACCACUUGGGGAUAACCUUGCGAAAGUAAGACUAAUACCCCAAUGAUAUCUCUAGAAGACAUCUGAAAGAGAUUAAAGAUUUAUCGGUGAUGGAUGGGGAUGCGUCUGAUUAGCUUGUUGGCGGGGUAACGGCCCACCAAGGCAACGAUCAGUAGGGGUUCUGAGAGGAAGGUCCCCCACAUUGGAACUGAGACACGGUCCAAACUCCUACGGGAGGCAGCAGUGAGGAAUAUUGGUCAAUGGGCGAGAGCCUGAACCAGCCAAGUAGCGUGCAGGAAGACGGCCCUAUGGGUUGUAAACUGCUUUUAUAGGGGAAUAAAGUGAGCCACGUGUGGUUUUUGCAUGUACCCUAUGAAUAAGGACCGGCUAAUUCCGUG